rnacentral:lncRNA from 1 species
AGUAAAUUCAGAGGGUUUAAAGACAUCUGCACCAGAGAUAAAAGGCACAGACCAACUAUGCUGACCAAUGUCAAGAACUCUACUCAACAGUACUUCCAGGCACAGCACUGCCUCAGCAUGGGCCUCAGCAUAGAUAAAACCAAUCAUCAGCCAUUCUGCCCCUCCCUCCUCAAGUCCUACCAUUCCAUCCCAGGCAUGGAGUCUACUAUCUGUAUAAGGACUGUUGACAUAGUACACAGACACCAACAUAUGCGAGACCAUUCUCACACUGCCCUUCUUCCAGAUCUGUCCGGUGACAUUACAAGGCACUGAGGAGCAGAGAAACAGAUCUGCAAGAAGGGACAGAGAUGAAGCCCUUGGCCAAGCUAGGGAUUUAACUCACCCUAUGCUGACUUUUACUUAUGGACACUUCCCUAAAGGUGACAGCACUACAGCACUCCAACCCAGAAGGAGAUGCAAACCAUGUGCUCUUGAACAGCAGGGAUGAGAAAUGCAAAUGUCCAAUGGGCUUCCAAAAAUAAAUCCUGUAUGUGAGCUGGUCUGAAUGAUUUCGGAGGAGUGAUAACAGGAGACAACUGGGUACCAUGACUGUUCCUUGACGCUCAUAUGGUCAGGACUCCGCCCACAGCACUGACUGCAUCAUCCUCAUUCCCUGGAUUCCUUAAACUGAAAGGUUCUUCCUAUGUACAUGUUACAUAAAACCUACUAUAUUAUAUAGACUAUACUUGUCUCCCUCACAAAGGAUGGUAUUAUUUCCUUGAUGCUGCAGAUGACUCCGAGACAGGUAAAAAACCAAAA